CCUACGUGUGGCAGCAGUGGGGAAUAUUGCACAAUGGGGGAAACCCUGAUGCAGCAACGCCGCGUGAGUGAAGAAGGUUUUCGGAUUGUAAAGCUCUGUUAGCAGGGAAGAGGGAGGGCGGUACCUGCAGAGGAAGCCACGGCUAACUACGUGCCAGCAGCAGCGGUAAACCGGAGGUGGCAAGCGUUGUUAGGACUAACUGGGCGUAAAGGAUGCGUAGGCGGUUAGUCAAGUUAUAUGUGAAAUAUACAGGCUGAACCUGUGGAAAGCAUAUAAAACUGUUUAACUAGAGUGCAGGAGAGGGAAGUGGAAUUCCUAGUGUAGCGGUGAAAUGCGUAGAGAUUAGGAAGAACACCAGUGGCGAAGGCGACUUACUGGACUGUAACUGACGCUGAGGCAUGAGAGCAUGGGGAGCAAACAGGAUUAGAUACCCCUGUAGUC
rnacentral:rRNA from 1 species